rnacentral:rRNA from 1 species
CCGUAACUAUAACGGUCCUAAGGUAGCGAAAUUCCUUGUCGGGUAAGUUCCGACCUGCACGAAUGGCGUAAUGAUGGCCAGGCUGUCUCCACCCGAGACUCAGUGAAAUUGAACUCGCUGUGAAGAUGCAGUGUACCCGCGGCAAGACGGAAAGACCCCGUGAACCUUUACUAUAGCUUGACACUGAACAUUGAGCCUUGAUGUGUAGGAUAGGUGGGAGGCUUUGAAGUGUGGACGCCAGUCUGCAUGGAGCCGACCUUGAAAUACCACCCUUUAAUGUUUGAUGUUCUAACGUGGACCCGUUACCCGGGUUGCGGACAGUGUCUGGUGGGUAGUUUGACUGGGGCGGUCUCCUCCUAAAGAGUAACGGAGGAGCACGAAGGUUGGCUAAUCCUGGUCGGACAUCAGGAGGUUAGUGCAAUGGCAUAAGCCAGCUUGACUGCGAGCGUGACGGCGCGAGCAGGUGCGAAAGCAGGUCAUAGUGAUCCGGUGGUUCUGAAUGGAAGGGCCAUCGCUCAACGGAUAAAAGGUACUCCGGGGAUAACAGGCUGAUACCGCCCAAGAGUUCAUAUCGACGGCGGUGUUUGGCACCUCGAUGUCGGCUCAUCACAUCCUGGGGCUGAAGUAGGUCCCAAGGGUAUGGCUGUUCGCCAUUUAAAGUGGUACGCGAGCUGGGUUUAGAACGUCGUGAGACAGUUCGGUCCCUAUCUGCCGUGGGCGCUGGAGAACUGAGGGGGGCUGCUCCUAGUACGAGAGGACCGGAGUGGACGCAUCACUGGUGUUCGGGUUGUCAUGCCAAUGGCACUGCCCGGUAGCUAAAUGCGGAAGAGAUAAGUGCUGAAAGCAUCUAAGCACGAAACUUGCCCCGAGAUGAGUUCUCCCUGAGACUUAGAGUCUCCUG